CAGUAGCCGCGGGAAUACGUAGGGGGCAAGCGUUAUCCGGAAUAACUGGGCGUAAAGGGUGCGCAGGUGGUUUAACAAGUUAGUGGUGAAAGGCAUAGGCUCAACCAAUGUAAGCCAUUAAAACUGUUUAACUUGAGUGCAGGAGAGGAAAGUGGAAUUCCUAGUGUAGCGGUGAAAUGCGUAGAUAUUAGGAGGAAUACCAGUGGCGAAGGCGACUUUCUGGACUGCAACUGACACUGAGGCACGAAAGCGUGGGGAGCAAACAGGAUUAGAUACCCCUGUAGUCCCUGUCUCUUAUACA
rnacentral:rRNA from 1 species